rnacentral:tRNA from 2 species
CGGAAUGUAGCUCAGUCUGGUAGAGUACUUGAAUGGGGUUCAAGUGGUCGGUGGUUCGAAUCCACUCAUUCCGA